rnacentral:lncRNA from 1 species
AGAGCAGCCAGUGCUCUUAACUGCUGAGGCAUCCCUCCAGCCCACUCUAUGAAUCAAUUUUAAAAAGAUAAAACCAAACCAAACCAAAACCAACAAACUGAAACAACAAAACAAAAAACAAGCAACCAGACAAACAAAUCUCCCAAAAUACAGACUCAUCAAUAACAACAAAAUACCAACUUUAAAAUCUAACAGUAAAAAAUGGGUUAUACCAAUUCUGGUGAAAUAUUAUAUAGUCAUUAAAAAGAUAUGCCGAUUUAUUUUUUUAUUUGAAAAACUAUUAGCAAAUUAAAUAGAAGGUAGUAUUAAAUGAGAAAAAUAAUUAAGACAUUAUGGUUUUAUUUCUGCAGAUAAUAUGUUCUGGGGUUGUUGCUGUUUUUGCAUAGCAACAAUUCUAGAAAGAAUUUCUCUAAAACAUUAAUAAUGGCUGGCUAGGAAGAGGAAGACCCAGAGUGAUUUUUUUUCCUCUCUGCUUUAUAUAGUUUUAGUAUCUUCAUGAUAAAUACAGGUUUUCAGUCAUCAUAAAAGGUCAAGGUGCUAAAACAAGACAUUCAAUUAUGUCAUUUAAAGAAGGGAACGCCUGCACUUGAACGUGUAUUCUAGAAGGGCAGAUUCUCUUUUGCCUGUGACCUCUCCAUUCCCCAAGGUCUUGUCACCUUCUAAAUGGCCAGUGCUGAGCUAAACGGCCCAGACUGUCACUAGGAGCAGUGGGUGUGGGGGGUGCAGCUUCCCACCUCAUGGCCCUGUUUCUACAGUAGCCCGAAUCACUCCAGAUCUUGUCCCUUGUCUGUGCUCCGAUGUCAUCUGUGAGGGAGUCAAUGGUCUCUCUCUCUCUGACCAGCUACAGUGCUGUCCUGCCGAAGGAAGAGGAAAUGAAUUCUUCUGUGCAGCCUGCAGUCCCUGCUAAAUAUAUCACCUGUGUAAUAAGACAGGGGCUGAAGAAAUUAACGGAAGUAAAGUUAUAGAUUAGGUGUCUUCAGCGGGCACAUCCUUUGGGAAUUAAACAGACAGGAGGGGGACGAGAUUUGUUUUCCUGGGGGUGACAAUCUGGCUGAGAAAUGAGACUGGCAGAAGAAUUCAAAAUAGUAUAUGCGACGUACCAGAAGAAUGCCCUAAGAAGUGCAGGGCGGAGCUUUGGCCAGGGUCACGAGGUGAGCGGAGUUUAGGCCGGGGUCACGAGGUGGGCUUAGAGGAGUUGACAAACUUGCUAUUUUGCUUCAGAGAGCUGCCUGGGGUGCUGGCACUUACAUAAGAAAUAAAUUUAUUUGUGCUUUGUGACAUUUCAAGGCUAGCGUGACCUUGUACACCACAGGGGAAUAGAAUUAUAUUUGUCUAUUG